AUUGAACGCUGGCGGCAGGCCUAACACAUGCAAGUCGAGCGGAUGAAGGGAGCUUGCUCCUGGAUUCAGCGGCGGACGGGUGAGUAAUGCCUAGGAAUCUGCCUGGUAGUGGGGGAUAACGUCCGGAAACGGGCGCUAAUACCGCAUACGUCCUGAGGGAGAAAGUGGGGGAUCUUCGGACCUCACGUUAUCAGAUGAGCCUAGGUUGGAUUAGCUAGUUGGUGGGGUAAAGGCCUACCAAGGCGACGAUCCGUAACUGGUCUGAGAGGAUGAUCAGUCACACUGGAACUGAGACACGGUCCAGACUCCUACGGGAGGCAGCAGUGGGGAAUAUUGGACAAUGGGCGAAAGCCUGAUCCAGCCAUGCCGCGUGUGUGAAGAAGGUCUUCGGAUUGUAAAGCACUUUAAGUUGGGAGGAAGGGCAGUAAGUUAAUACCUUGCUGUUUUGACGUUACCAACAGAAUAAGCACCGGCUAACUUCGUG
rnacentral:rRNA from 1 species